rnacentral:rRNA from 1 species
AAAGGAAUAGACGGGGGCCCGCACAAGCAGCGGAGCAUGUGGUUUAAUUCGACGCAACGCGAAGAACCUUACCAGGUCUUGACAUCGAUCUAAACCGUCAGAGAUGACGGGUCCCGCAAGGGGAGAGAAGACAGGUGGUGCAUGGUUGUCGUCAGCUCGUGUCGUGAGAUGUUGGGUUAAGUCCCGCAACGAGCGCAACCCUUGUAGUCAGUUACUAACGGGUAAAGCCGAGGACUCUGACAAGACUGCCGGGGACAACUCGGAGGAAGGUGGGGACGACGUCAAAUCAUCAUGCCCCUUAUGACCUGGGCUACACACGUGCUACAAUGGCCGCAACAAAGAGAGGCAAAACCGUAAGGUGGAGCGGAUCUCAAAAAGCGGUCUCAGUUCGGAUCGAGGGCUGCAACCCGCCCUCGUGAAGUCGGAGUUGCUAGUAAUCGCGAAUCAGCAUGUCGCGGUGAAUACGUUCCCGGGCCUUGUACACACCGCCCGU